rnacentral:rRNA from 1 species
GCUCCAAUAGCGUAUAUUAAAGUUGUUGCGGUUAAAAAGCUCGUAGUUGGAUUUCUGCCGAGGACGACCGGUCCGCCCCACUGGGUGUUGUAUCUGGCUCGGCCUGGGCAUCUUCUUGGAGAACGUAGCUGCACUUCAUUGUGUGGUGCGGUAUCCAGGACUUUUUACUUUGAGGAAAUUAGAGUGUUUCAAGCAGGCAC